AUGAUCAAGAAGAAUUUGAAGGAAUGGGAAGAGUGUUUGCCGCACGUGGAGUUUGCUUACAAUCGGGCAGUUCACUCUACCACAAACAUGUGCCCGUUUGAGGUGGUAUAUGGAUUCAAACCACUUGCACCAAUUGACUUGCUGCCACUUCCAUUGCAAGAGAGAUGUAACAUGGAGGCUUCAAAGCGUGCUGCAUAUGUGAAGAAGAUUCAUGAGAAGACCAGAGAAGAGAUAGAAAGGAAGUCCAAGUACUAUGCUACUAAGGCAAACAAAAAUCGCAAGAAGGUGACUUUUGAGCCCAGAGAUCUGGUUUGGAUACAUUUGCGCCAAGAUCGGUUCCCAGAGAAGCGCAAAUCCAAGCUAAUGCCUCGUGGAGAUGGACCAUUCAAAGUCUUGGCCAAGAUCAAUGACAAUGCUUACAAGAUCGAGCUUCCUGAAGACUAUGCUGUGAGUCCAACAUUCAACGUUGCUGAUUUGUCUGCAUGCUUCGAUCAAGAGGGUCAAGAGUCGAGGACGACUCCUUUUGAAGAGGGGGAGGAUGAUGAGGACAUCCCAGGUUCACCUCGUUCAUCAUCUUCUCCUGAUGAUAAAUCUCAGCCAUCAAGUGAAGCUUCUACAAAGAAGAUCUAUUUGGGUCCCAUGACAAGGAGCCGUGCCAAACAAAUAGCACAAGAGGUGAACGCGCUCCUAGCUUAUCAUAAUUUAAAUGACCAUGAGAACUUUAUACUGCCUAAAUCUCGUGUGCUGAUUUUACUUAGGUACAAUGUUGAGGACAACCAACAACAUUCAGCACAUGAAGAAACAAGUUUUGGAUCCCAUACAACAAGUUUGAAGAGAACAAGUUUCAACUCUGAUGAAAGCCUUGUUUUGGUGACAAGGAUGACUAGUUAG
rnacentral:rRNA from 1 species